GUGGGGAAUUUUGGACAAUGGGCGCAAGCCUGAUCCAGCAAUGCCGCGUGCAGGAAGAAGGCCUUCGGGUUGUAAACUGCUUUUGUACGGAACGAAACGGUCCUGGUUAAUACCUGGGGCUAAUGACGGUACCGUAAGAAUAAGCACCGGCUAACUACGUGCCAGCAGCCGCGGUAAUACGUAGGGUGCAAGCGUUAAUCGGAAUUACUGGGCGUAAAGCGUGCGCAGGCGGUUUUGUAAGACAGGCGUGAAAUCCCCGGGCUCAACCUGGGAAUUGCGCUUGUGACUGCAAGGCUGGAGUGCGGCAGAGGGGGAUGGAAUUCCGCGUGUAGCAGUGAAAUGCGUAGAUAUGCGGAGGAACACCGAUGGCGAAGGCAAUCCCCUGGGCCUGUACUGACGCUCAUGCACGAAAGCGUGGGGAGCAAACAGGAUUAGAAACCCCAGUAGUCC
rnacentral:rRNA from 1 species